GGAGCCUCCCUGCAGGGUGGAGUGUUUCAAUCUCAGAGGCAACUGUUAAACAAGAUAUAAUAGAGCUGUUCCUAGGGCACAACACUUUCUCUUCUUGGACUCUGCCUACCUGAUUUCCCUACGCUUCUAGCCUACAGAAAUGCUCCAUCCUGGCCCUGGGUAUUUGUGUCCUCCAGAGAGCAAUUUGCUGAACAGUGCCCUCUUCCUAG